GGGGUCGUUACGGAUUCGACAGGCAUUAUGAGGCAUGUUCUGCAACUCGUGUGGCGACGUAAACGCUCAGUUAAAUAUAACUGCAAAAAAUACAAACUCUUACGCUUUAGCAGCUUAAUAACCUGCGGGCGUGACCAAGGGCUGUUUGCUUACGGCAGCCUAAGGUCUUAAAAAUAGUAAGCUGGUGUCUGGAGGGUGUCUCACCUCAGGUCACGAGAUCUUGAGACUCGCCAAUGCUAGGCUUGAACCUUGUGUCGAGCCUUGGUUAAACGAAUACAAGGUCUAUGGUUGUAGACGAAUAUGUUGGCAGGUGUUUGGACGUGGGUUCGACUCCCACCGGCUCCA
rnacentral:tmRNA from 1 species